rnacentral:rRNA from 1 species
CCAGCCUUGACAUCCCCCUGAAUAUAAGGUAAUGCUUAUAGCCUUUCGGGGCAGGGGAGACAGGUGGUGCAUGGUUGUCGUCAGCUCGUGUCGUGAGAUGUUGGGUUAAGUCCCGCAACGAGCGCAACCCCUGUUGCCAGUAGCCAGCAGGUAAAGCUGGGCACUCUGGUGAGACUGCCGGGGAGAACCCGGAGGAAGGCGGGGAUGACGUCAAAUCAUCAUGCCCCUUAUGGCUGGGGCUACACACGUGCUACAAUGGCGCAGACAGAGGGAAGCGAAGUGGCGACACGGAGCGAAUCCCAGAAAGAGCGCCCCAGUUCGGAUUGCAGCCUGCAACUCGGCUGCAUGAAGCCGAAAUCGCUAGUAAUCGCGGAUCAGAACGCCGCGGUGAAUACGUUCCC